AACGAACGCUGGCGGCAUGCCUAACACAUGCAAGUCGAACGAGACCUUCGGGUCUAGUGGCGCACGGGUGCGUAACGCGUGGGAACCUGCCCUUAGGUUCGGAAUAACUCCCCGAAAGGGGUGCUAAUACCGGAUAAUGUCUUCGGACCAAAGAUUUAUCGCCUUUGGAUGGGCCCGCGUUGGAUUAGCUAGUUGGUAGGGUAAAAGCCUACCAAGGCGACGAUCCAUAGCUGGUCUGAAAGGAUGAUCAGCCACACUGGGACUGAGACACGGCCCAGACUCCGACGGGAGGCAGCAGUGGGGAAUAUUGGACAAUGGGCGAAAGCCUGAUCCAGCAAUGCUGCGUGAGUGAUGAAGGCCUUAGGGUUGUAAAGCUCUUUUACCCGGGAUGAUAAUGACAGGACCGGGAGAAUAAGCUCCGGCUAACUCCGU
rnacentral:rRNA from 1 species